CAAAUAAUAAGCGGUCAUAGCUUGUAACACACACAAAAGAAUGGGAACUGUUUCUGUGAGAAAAGAUUGAUAGGGUUGAAAAACAGCCUGUCUAUCAGAAUUGGCGGAACAAUACCAAUUAUACCCAAUGAUGAGUUUAACUCUGUACACAAGAACCACAGGGAAGGGACAUUCCUAUGGAUUAUACCCAAUGAGAUCCACAUAAAACUUGGAAAUACAACUCCAAUCCGAAAGAAUUUAGAGGCAACUGGAAAAACAGCACUGUUAAAAUGUUGAUGAAAUUUUAAGUUUCUUUUGUACUACAUAAGACUUUUGGAAAAGAAAAGUAAUAUGCAAAAUAGGACGAAAGAAGAACUACAGUAAAAUUUGGCAAAACCUGAGAACUAUCUUUAAAAAAAAGCAGAAUACAAAGAAAUAUGUU